rnacentral:rRNA from 1 species
AUUGAACGCUGGCGGCAUGCUUUACACAUGCAAGUCGAACGGCAGCACAGGUGCUUGCACCUGGUGGCGAGUGGCGGACGGGUGAGUAAUACAUCGGAACGUAUCCAGAAGAGGGGGAUAACGCAUCGAAAGAUGUGCUAAUACCGCAUAUUCUCUGAGGAGGAAAGCAGGGGAUCGAAAGACCUUGCGCUUUGGGAGCGGCCGAUGUCUGAUUAGCUAGUUGGUGGGGUAAAGGCCUACCAAGGCGACGAUCAGUAGGGGGCGUGAGAGCGUGACCCCCCCACACGGGUACUGAGACACGGACCCGACUCCUACGGGAGGCAGCAGUAAGGAAUAUUGGUCAAUGGAGGGAACUCUGAACCAGCCAUCCCGCGUGAAGGAUGAAGGGGCUCUGCCUUGUAAACUUCUUUUGCAUGGGACGAAAAAACUUAAUUUAUUAAGGACUGACGGUACCAUGAGAAUAAGCACCGGCUAACUCCGUGCCAGCAGCCGCGGUAAAG